rnacentral:rRNA from 1 species
AUUGAACGCUGGCGGCAGGCUUAACACAUGCAAGUCGAGCGAGUGGCGGACGGGUGAGUAAUGUCUGGGAAACUGCCUGAUGGAGGGGGAUAACUACUGGAAACGGUAGCUAAUACCGCAUACCAUCAGAUGUGCCCAGAUGGGAUUAGCUAGUUGGUUGGGUAACGGCUCACCUAGGCGACGAUCCCUAGCUGGUCUGAGAGGAUGACCAGCCACACUGGAACUGAGACACGGUCCAGAAUCCUACGGGAGGCAGCAGUGGGGAAGAUUGCACAAUGGGCGCAAGCCUGAUGCAGCCAUGCCGCGUGUAUGAAGAAGGCCGUCGGGUUGUAAAGGACUUUCAGCGGGGAGGCGGUACCCGCAGAAGAAGCACCGGCUAACUCCGUGCCAGCAGCCGCGGUAAUUC